rnacentral:rRNA from 1 species
UUGAAUUGAAGAGUUUGAUCAUGGCUCAGAUUGAACGCUGGCGGCAGGCCUAACACAUGCAAGUCGAACGGUAACAGGAAACAGCUUGCUGUUUCGCUGACGAGUGGCGGACGGGUGAGUAAUGUCUGGGAAACUGCCUGAUGGAGGGGGAUAACUACUGGAAACGGUAGCUAAUACCGCAUAACGUCGCAAGACCAAAGAGGGGGACCUUCGGGCCUCUUGCCAUCGGAUGUGCCCAGAUGGGAUUAGCUAGUAGGUGGGGUAAAGGCUCACCUAGGCGACGAUCCCUAGCUGGUCUGAGAGG